rnacentral:rRNA from 1 species
AUGCAAGUUGUUCAUGUGGUCAGCCAUUCAGUACAGGCUUUGGACUUCAGACAGAAGAUGGAGAUAUGGGAUACAGGAGGAGAAAUCACCGUGUUUUCUAUGCGAGCAGGAGGAAGACAUGAUGGACCACAUUUGCUGCAGUGUGUUUUUUCUCGGCAAGUUUGGUACAUGUGCUUUGCCAGAAUGGGGAUUGAUCUGGCUCUAUGCCCCUCGGCUGAAGCUAGAAUUGGAGGAUGGUGGUCGGAAGCGAGGAAGCGCAUGCCAAAAAUGCACCAUAAGGGGUUUGACUCCGUUGUCACGUCGAUAUGCUGGAAUCUAUGGAAGCAACGCAACUGCAGGGUGUUUGGCAGAACAGACUUACGGAACGUAGGGGGCACAGUGGACCUAAUCUGGCAAGAGCUUGAAAUGUGGACUAGGGCCGGGGCCACCGGAGUAGCUACGUUUUGUGAGUAG